rnacentral:rRNA from 1 species
GCAGUCGAGGGGUAUAGGUUUUCGGACCUAGAGACCGGCGCACGGGUGCGUAACGCGUAUGCAAUCUACCUUUUACAGAGGGAUAGCCCAGAGAAAUUUGGAUUAAUACCUCAUAGUAUAGCUGUACCGCAUGGUACUACUAUUAAAGUCACAACGGUAAAAGAUGAGCAUGCGUCCCAUUAGCUUGUUGGUAAGGUAACGGCUUACCAAGGCAACGAUGGGUAGGGGUCCUGAGAGGGAGAUCCCCCACACUGGUACUGAGACACGGACCAGACUCCUACGGGAGGCAGCAGUGAGGAAUAUUGGACAAUGGGCGCAAGCCUGAUCCAGCCAUGCCGCGUGCAGGAAGAAGCAUCUAUGGUGUGUAAACUGCUUUUGUACGGGAAGAAACCCUGCCACGUGUGGCAGAUUGACGGUACCGUAAGAAUAAGGAUCGGCUAACUCCGUGCCAGCAGCCGCGGUAAUACGGAGGAUCCAAGCGUUAUCCGGAAUCAUUGGGUUUAAAGGGUCCGUAGGCGGUUUAAUAAGUCAGUGGUGAAAUCUGGUCGCUUAACGAUCAAACUGCCAUUGAUACUGUUAGACUUGAAUUAUUGGGAAGUAACUAGAAUAUGUAGUGUAGCGGUGAAAUGCUUAGAUAUUACAUGGAAUACCAAUUGCGAAGGCAGGUUACUAUCAAUAUAUUGACGCUGAUGGACGAAAGCGUGGGGAGCGAACAGGAUUAGAUACCCUGGUAGUCCACGCCGUANACGAUGGAUACUAGCUGUUCGGAGCAAUCUGAGUGGCUAAGCGAAAGUGAUAAGUAUCCCACCUGGGGAGUACGUUCGCAAGAAUGAAACU